rnacentral:rRNA from 1 species
UACGAAGGGUGCAAGCGUUAAUCGGAAUUACUGGGCGUAAAGCGUGCGUAGGUGGUCUUUUAAGUCCGUUGUGAAAGCCCUGGGCUCAACCUGGGAAUGGCAGUGGAUACUGGAAGGCUGGAGUACGGUAGAGGAGGGUGGAAUUCCCGGUGUAGCAGUGAAAUGCGUAGAGAUCGGGAGGAACAUCAGUUGCGAAGGCGGCUCUCUGGACCAGUACUGACGCUGAGGCACGAAAGCGUGGGGAGCAAACAGG